CCCAGCGAAGGAGGUUGGUGGGCGGAGAUACGGAGGCCGAGAGGGACCGUUGCUGAGGCGGAAAACCAGGCGCGGAAAAUGAAAUAAAAGAAAGGAACGUGGCGGCGAAGGGAAGGCUGGAGCCCAAUUUGGCGCUUGGGGGUCACCGCCGCAGGAGGAACGGUGUCGAACGGCAUCAGGAAGGCUGAGAACCGAACUGUUCUAGCGGGUCCCUUUCUCUCCUUUGGGGGAAAAUCCACGAGGCGGUGCCUGGAGAGGAGAAGGCGGGGCUUCGCAGGAAGGAGGGGCUGGUAUAUGGAGCGCCUUCCCUUUCGGAACCAGAGAGCUGACGGAGGGAGCGGUUCGCUUCGGAGGCGGAGAAACCGGAAGAGGACGGAGCAGCCCCGGGAGACGGCGGGGAAAGGCCGGGGGGCUCCGGAGCUGCAGGAGGGAUGAGCCCAGCGGGAGUCCGGGAAAGGCGGCUGCCUGGAGGGCGAUGCGGGGAGGAGGAAACGGGCGGAGACGCCGAGACGGGCCUGGAGGGCGGAGGGUCCUUCGGAAGACCCCGGAAUCCCCAAAGGAUCCAGGAGGAAGAAGAGAGAUAUCAGUGCCCGGAAUGUGAAAAAUUCUUCAAGAGAAAUGUGUAUCU